GCGGCGAGCACCGAGGGGGGUCCUCCCCCCGCUCCGAAGUGCCGCUGGGUUUGCACGGGCCGGUGGUCGCCACGGGAAGCCCCCCACAAGCCCCUUUCUCAGCCCAGCGAACCGGGGCCCCGCGGCCGGUGGCACCUCAGAGGGACCCCGGUACUGAGGCGUUCAGGCGGGAGCCCGGCGUCCUGGCUGAGAGGAGCGGCCGCGGCAUCUCACGACCUAACCCCGUUAAAUGAGGCACGGACGUGAGUGUCUGAGAGCACAGCGCUCAGCAAAAUCAAAACUGAGGGGAGAAUACCAGUGUGAUUAAUGCUCCUCCUGCUCUGCAACAUGAGGUGGAUUGUAAAGCAGGCGCAUCAAAGACAGACAGACAUACUCACAGGUUACCAAGGGAGAAUGCAAAAUUGGUGAGUGCUUGCAUUUUUUCCUGCAAAAUGCUCAGAUACCAGAGAAGAGGAGCAACUGAAAGGACCAUCAAGAAGCAGAAUUUUUUUCCUGUUGACUUCAGUGGAGCACAAGGCAACAACAGGGAAAGAAGUUCAUGCUCCG